AAAAUACAAACACAAAUAAAUAUAAACUUUGGACAAUUCCACUUCCUCCGUAAAAGAUCCACCACCACAGACAACAUGUGAACAGCUCUGUCCUAACAAGCUGCUGAUGCUGCCUCCACCAGCCUGUGGCCCUAUAUAAGCCCUGCUUCAGCUAAAAAGGUGAAGGAAAAAUGGUUGAACAUGCUAUUUGAAUGCUGGAGUUUUGAGACCAAGAACGGCAUCUACAAGAAUUUCUUAAAGACACUGCGCUCUGCUCCAGGAUAUAAUGGCAAUGCUUCUUUCACAAUAGAGGAUGUGCGUGAUCCAGUGGGUGGCAGUAUGGCCAUAUAGGCAUAACCAGGCAAUACAAACCAAAUAAGACAAAGAAUUAGAGGGGAAAGGUGCAAGUUUUUGAGUUUGUUUGGAUUGUGUGGUUUAUGACUUCUAAUUGCAGUGGUGGUAGGAGGAAAGAAGGAUGGAACGGUAUUGGAAGCAAACCGUGUUUUUAGUGACUUUGGGAAGGAGUUGUGAAAGGAAGUGAAAACAGUGGGUGUAAUUAAAAGAGGAAUUGUAAUUGUGGAAUGCCAGUCAAAGAAACCAAGGCAUAGAGAUAUAAAAAAUCAAGAUUCAGCAUUACAAAGGUAGCCUGUUUUCCCAAGGAUGAAAGGGCACCUGUGAAGAGGCUGGUUAGUCGAGGCGGAUAGUUUCAUGGAGAGUUACCUCAAAUGGUGUGUUUUGAUUGGUAGUUACAGGGUGAGGGCAUCUAAGGUUCCAAUGAGGUGUUAUUGGUGUCAAUAUUAUAAACAUGUGGCAACAGUGUGUCUAACAAGGGUGCACAGGUAUAUAAGGUAUGGGGAAAGAAGGGUGUUGGCUGUCUAAAGGUCAAGCUGUAUGUUUUCACUGUGGAGGAAAUCAUGAAGUGUGAGAGAGGGAAGAUGGAAAUUGAGAUGGAACGGACAUGAGUAGGGGGAAAUUUUACAUUUUGGCAGUGAAGAGAGUGAGGGCAAGAAAGGGAAUAGUGAGGAAAGAAGAGGAUAGAGCUGGUAAAUGAGGGAAUAUGAUGGAUCAACAAACCAAUGUUCAAUAAAAGCAAAAAACCUCAAUCUAAUCGGCCUGUUGUCACUUGGCCAUGACACCGGCCUGCACACCUUUUGUAGUUUUA